GAUGAACGCUGACAGAAUGCUUAACACAUGCAAGUCAACUUGAACUUCGGUUUGGGUGGCGGACGGGUGAGUAACGCGUAAAGAACUUGCCUCACAGAUAGGGACAACAUUUGGAAACGAAUGCUAAUACCUGAUAUUAUGAUUUUAGGGCAUCCCAGAAUUAUGAAAGCUAUAUGCGCUGUGAGAGAGCUUUGCGUCCCAUUAGCUAGUUGGAGAGGUAACGGCUCACCAAGGCGAUGAUGGGUAGCCGGCCUGAGAGGGUGAUCGGCCACAAGGGGACUGAGACACGGCCCUUACUCCUACGGGAGGCAGCAGUGGAGAAUAUUGGACAAUGGACCAAGAGUCUGAUCCAGCAAUUCUGUGUGCACGAUGAAGUUUUUCGGAAUGUAAAGUGCUUUCAGUUGGGAAGAAAAAAAUGACGGUACCAACAGAAGAAGUGACGGCUAAAUACGUGCCAGCAGCCGCGGUAAUACGUAUGUCACAAGCGUUAUCCGGAUUUAUUGGGCGUAAAGCGCGUCUAGGUGGUUAUAUAAGUCUGAUGUGAAAAUGCAGGGCUCAACUCUGUAUUGCGUUGGAAACUGUGUAACUAGAGUACUGGAGAGGUAAGCGGAACUACAAGUGUAGAGGUGAAAUUCGUAGAUAUUUGUAGGAAUGCCGAUGGGGAAGCCAGCUUACUGGACAGAUACUGACGCUGAAGCGCGAAAGCGUGGGUAGCAAACAGG
rnacentral:rRNA from 1 species